rnacentral:rRNA from 1 species
UACAGAGGGGGCAAGCGUUGUUCGGAAUUACUGGGCGUAAAGGGCGCGUAGGCGGCCUUCUAAGUCGAACGUGAAAUCCCCGGGCUCAACCCGGGAACUGCGUCCGAUACUGGAAGGCUUGAAUCCGGGAGAGGGAUGCGGAAUUCCAGGUGUAGCGGUGAAAUGCGUAGAUAUCUGGAGGAACGACCGGUGGCGAAGGCGGCAUCCUGGAGCUGUAACUGACACUGAGGAACGAAAGCCAGGGGAGCAAACGG